ACCUGGAUAGCUCAGUCGGUUGAGCGUCUGACUUCAGCUGAGGUCACGAUCUCACAAUUCAUGGGUUCGAGCCCCACAUCAGGUU
rnacentral:tRNA from 1 species